GGGAUUCGGAACCCGUCAAUUCGUGGCAGUGCUGUGGCAGGCCUAGUGAAGAGAAUACGGUCCGUGAUACGUCUAUCUGCCGCACAGGCGUAUUCUGUUCCACCCAUUUCUUUUACCUGUUCGCACGCCUAGAAAAGACGACGUGUCCUGCACCAGAAAGGCUGGCCCAUGUCCGUGACCUUAUCCCUAACUCGUGAACAAGCCGUCGCCGCACACCUGCUCUGCCCCUCCGUCUCUCUCUCUCUCUCUCAAAUCCGACGGCGGCACUGGUUUCUCUCCGGCGAGCAUCUCCCUGGCCCCUUGGCCCUACCCACGUACCCGGUGGUCGUGGGCAAUUCGUCUCCACACGCCGGCUCUGCCGUUGGGUCUCUUUUCCCCCAACCUUGACGGCGCCAGGGUUUGUUCUCCGGCGAGAUGUGCUCCUUUGGUGUUGAGGUGCCACGGGAUCCAUGUUUGGGACGUCAGAGCCGAUUCCUGAUGUAUUCCCCGUGGAGUCGCGGGAUUUCAUGAGCAUCGCCGAUACCCAGCUGGGCCGUGGCAGCGAGGGCACACAUCUGUGCGGGGACGCCUGCUUAGGUUUGCUCAGAAGCCACCAGCGGCUGGACCAUUAGCGGCUGUCCCCCGUGGAUGAGUUUGCCCAAGCGCGGCAAGGUGGACCAUACAUGUAAUGAAGGGCCCCAAAUCUUCCAGUCGGAUGGAGUCAGGGGCUUCUCUUAGUAUCAUCGAAGCUGAAAUUUGCAACACUGCUGAGCUUGGAAGCGGUGGGCAAAGUGGUGGAUUCCCCCCUGAAGCCGGUGUGUUCCAAGUUUGCGCUGAAGCUACUAGUGGAUGGACCAUGUAUUUUUGUCAAAUUCUUAACAAUGUCUCUGUAGUUCUUUGUGAUUUACUACAACAAUGGCUCCUAUACUAUUUAGUCGCUGAAAAUUCCAUUGUUAUCAAGAGCUUCCUCUUAUUCUUAGUAAUUCAUACGGCACAGUUCUGUCUAUUGAAGCUGUCCUAUUGACAAAUGUUGCUGUUUCAUAUGAUACUCUCUUGACAGCAGGAACCUGAUUCAUGUAUGAUUUUGAAAUGGUCAAUCCUUUUCUGGUCUGCACAUUUGUUGGAAUUUUAUGGAGCCAACUCUGUUCACGAAUGAUGCAAUAAUUGAAGAUAUGAAGAAGGCUUACAUGGACGCGCAAGAGAUUGAGGAGUAGAACAAAUAAGCUUUAUGCAAUGAAUAAUUUGCAAGGCAAGGUUCUCCAUGCCUGUAUGUACAUUGCUGCUUUUGGAAUUUGGCAGUUGCUUACUGUGGCCAGGGUGACAGACUGACAUCACGUGAGCUUGGUCAGUUGGGCAGCACAUGCUGGUAUGGGGCAUUGGGUGAUCACCACCAUAGAACAACUGUUGGACAUGUACUACAAGCUAGAUUCUGUCCCUAUCGCUAGCCCGGAAUACACGCGCUGGAAAGGCUCUACGGUGGGGCAGCAUGCGUGAAUACAGGGCCAGCUCGGAUCCCAAGCAUGGACGGGCGGCCUGGAUUCCGGCCUGCCUGAUGCUCGGCCUCCAUUCGCAUUUUCCGAAUAGCUUGUUCUUUCUAUUUGAGAGUAGUAUUUUAUUGUAUUAAGAACCUCUGCUUAUCAUAUUCAGUACUGUAUUAUAAGUGUGAAUAUUUAGACUAUGUAUCGUCUAACAUAAAGUCUCAGACUAUGUGUACAUAUUCUGUAUGAUUGCUUCAGCAUUUUAUUUUA